rnacentral:rRNA from 1 species
CCUACGGGGGGCUGCAGUGGGGAAUAUUGGACAAUGGGCGAAAGCCUGAUCCAGCCAUGCCGCGUGUGUGAAGAAGGCCUUCGGGUUGUAAAGCACUUUCAGUGGGGAAGAAAGCCUUGGGGCUAAUACCCUCGAGGAAGGACAUCACCCACAGAAGAAGCACCGGCUAACUCCGUGCCAGCAGCCGCGGUAAUACGGAGGGUGCGAGCGUUAAUCGGAAUUACUGGGCGUAAAGCGCGCGUAGGCGGUCUGAUAAGCCGGUUGUGAAAGCCCCGGGCUCAACCUGGGAACGGCAUCCGGAACUGUCAGGCUAGAGUGCAGGAGAGGAAGGGAGAAUACCCGGUGUAGCGGUGAAAUGCGUAGAGAUCGGGAGGAAUACCAGUGGCGAAGGCGGCCUUCUGGACUGACACUGACGCUGAGGUGCGAAAGCGUGGGUAGCAAACAGGAUUAGAUACCCUAGUAGUC